AAAACUGUAAUUACUUUUGUAC
rnacentral:miRNA from 2 species